ACCAAACAACUAAGAUGAUAUGGAAGUAAGAAAUACAGAGUUAAAGAAUGAAAAUGAAUAAGUAAUUUUCCUACCAAAGCUCGUCCGGCCAAGAAAUUGAGCUAUCAACCCCUACAGUAGUCUUAGAAUACAAAACAUUUUUCAAUUGAGAGAGAUAUGGUGUAAGUUUAAUUUCGAGUAGCUUGUCUAAAGGGAGUUCAAAGAAGUCAUACCAAGAUCGAAGAAUGAACUUACUAUAUACAUUGCAAAUGUGAUAAAUUGAACACAAUAAGAUACUUUAUAUUUGUAAAUCAUAAAUAUUCUAUUUCCUCCAGUUGGUUUGCCAAUAAAGCACGCUCCUCAACAGUGUCAUAUAUGCCUUUAAUGUUGUCCUCUUUAAUGUAACCAGGAAGCACUACUUCACUGCAAGUGACAAAAGAAAACAAUGAAAGCAGUUAGGUAAAUUUUGUAAUAAAGCUAUCAAUACUAAAUAGGAAAGGACGUUGUUGGAUAAGAGAGACCAAGAAUCUUGAUUUUACCUUGUAGUAUUACCAAGCAUACAAUUCAAGAUCCUAACGAAAGUGUGUUGUAUCCUGGGCUAGAUCCUAGCUGUAUAAAAACUUGAUUUCCUCCAAAGAUGCUCCAUAGUUUCCACAAUGACAUUCAAGCUUUUCAUGGAAGGUGUAUACAGAGUCAAAUGCAGUUGCACUGCAGAAACCUUCAUUCCAAAUAACAAGUGUAGCAUGUCAACCUUUUCUUUGCCGCAGAUCCAUUGAUAAAAAACUUGACUUUCUCGACGGUAAGUACUCCAAUCACCUUAGAAACCUAUAGAACAACUAUCAUUCUUUUUCAUCGAGCAGAAAGAAAGAGCAAAGACAGUUACAGAAACAAUUAAUACAUACAAAUUUGAAACCAUGAAGCUUUUCUUUUUAUCUUAUCUGUAGCUUUGCCUUUUCUCUCUCUUUUAAAUUGCAUAAUGAUAUGUAUAAAUAUUUUUUUUCCCUGUAAAUUACACUUAAGACUUCAGUAAUAUACUCUAGUGCAACAUGGAUGGAAGGCUAUUAUAAUUUUUUAGGAGUAACCAUUACAUUUUCUUUUUAAAAGAUCUUCUCAAUAUAGUUGGAAAAUUUUCACUUAUUCACUCGCUAACAAAAGUAAUUCUUUCUUGAAUGUGAAUCUUUUAUUUCGUCUUGUAGAUUUCACUCUUCUAAAUGAAUUCACAGAACCCUCGUGCCAUAUUUGUUCUAAACUUAAGACAAUACACUAAUAAUCCAAUUAAGAUAUAAAAUACAUCUAAGGGUAGUUGUAUCAAUAUUUGUCUAGUGUGGAACAAUAUCUAAAGAGCUUAACUCUUCUAACUGACAACUCUCUAUCAUUCUGCGCCAACACUUGGCAUCAUGUUUUCCAAUCUCUCCUAGAUAAAUGAUUUAUAAAGUAGAUUAAAUCUAACUUGUGUGACUUUUACCUCAGUUAAAACCAUAAGAAAGUUGUCCAGCACUAUCUCAAUUAAGUACAUGUAUUUCCUGCAAACUAUUCUUCUUUUUCGGUCUCAUUGUUAAUUUUGGAAGCACAUAUAAGAAUAUUAGGAGCUGAUAAAUCUGUUGCUACGAUCACAUCAUCAUCAUCUAAUGUAGUUACACGACCAUACCAAUCUUCUAUAUUCUAAAAGUUAAAUUUAUUUCUUUGCAAUGACUUGACCAAUCUGUCAUGUGAUAAUAAUUUUCUUCCAGGUAACAUAUAUCCCAAAGCUAACCGAAAUUAAAUAAAAUAAAUCUGUCGUGGCCCACACAAAGAAAACUCGACCUCUCCAACAUUUCAGCAGCCAGAGUCUCAAAUCUUUCCAACCUCACCAACUCCCUAUUCCUUUCCUGCCACCCCCUUUAAGUCAGCAUUCAUCUCGACAAUUUCGCGACAUAGCGUCUCUUUCCCUUUUUCCGAUGUCCCUGUCUUUCUUCUCUUUACUUCUCUUCUGUUAUCAAAUUUCCUAAACCUUAAUCCAAAUCAAAAUCCGGAGAAUCCAAUAAAAUAUGUCAAGCAAUUGGUUAUCGCUUUUUAAGUAUUAAAACCGAAAAAAUACACCUCAUCCUGAAAUCACUUAUAGUAUCGAAUUGCCAUGAAUUCUAUGUUAGCUUUAACUAACAACUUAAUCAAUAUAUGUAGUUUGCUAUAUGUCAAUUAAUAAGACGAGUAGAGCCAUAAGAUUUAUCAGGAUGAAACAGAAAGCUAGCUAAAAGAACCAAGUCGAACUUGUUACCAGAGUAGCACACAACAACGAACAUGAAAUUUCAGCAAAAGCAAGUCUCACCUCUCAGCAGAACUCGAAAUUUUAUGUUUCAGCAAUGCCAACACGGAGAACAACAGGGAGAAGAAAAUGAAUCACUCAGCAGCCGCAAAAAGAAAAUCGACCUGCGCAAAACAGAGUGAGGAAGGGGAUGAGCUGACAAACGGUGAGUCCAACUGCGUUGGCGGCCACGUUUUACAAGACCGACACUCGUAACUCUUUGAAAAUACAUAUCCAGCAUUGACUCCAACCCUAUAAGAAUGACCUCAACCCAAAUUACAUAGCUUUAAUUCCAAACCUAAAAGGAAAAACAAAGACGGAACGACAGAGAUCUACCAACACAGACACAAGGGAAGAUUGAAGAAUUGCACACCACGUGUUUGACAGCAAAGUACACCUCAACACCUGAUAGACGCGACAAACAUCUUAUUACAAAUCGUCAUCUUCUCCAGUUUUGCUUUGGCCUGAAGAGUUAUAGUGGAAGCAACUUGGGCUUGAGUUCAAUUCGACCAGAACUUUCGAAUACCAAAAAACGAGGAACAAAAUCAACAGCCCACAAUAUCAAACUUAGGGAGAAAACGAAGGGGAAAAGAGAGAUCUAUACCUUGAAGAAUCUAAACUCUAAAGAGAGGCAGAGAGGAUAGAAAGAGAGAGAGAGAGCACGGGGGAGACGAGAAACUGAAGACCGUGCUUACGUGUUGAACAAAAGGGACGUACACGAGAACAAUUUUAAGCCACUUAGAGGGCAGAUUUCCAAAAAUAACCCCGAAGCAGAGAUGGAAAAUUCCAAAAAUAAACCAGAAGCAGGACGACGAAUAGCAC
rnacentral:lncRNA from 1 species